rnacentral:tRNA from 1 species
GGGGGAUUAGCUCAGUUUGGCUAGAGCACCUGCUUUGCAAGCAGGGGGUCAACGGUUCGAAUCCGUUAUUCUCCACCA